UACGGAGGGUGCGAGCGUUGUCCGGAAUCACUGGGCGUAAAGGGCGCGUAGGUGGCCGAGCAAGGUCGCGGUGAAAGUCCGGGGCUCAACUCCGGAUCUGCAGUGGGUACGGGCAGACUAGAGUGUGGUAGGGGAGACUGGAAUUCCUGGUGUAGCGGUGAAAUGCGCAGAUAUCAGGAGGAACACCGGUGGCGAAGGCGGAUCUCUGGGCCUUACCUGACGCUGAGGCGCGAAAGCUAGGGGAGCAAACAGG
rnacentral:rRNA from 1 species